rnacentral:lncRNA from 1 species
UUUGACUUGUGUGCGCUUGUGUGUCUUCUCUCUUGUUUACCAUUUGCUUUUGGUCUCUCCUACUGAACAGCCGCAGCUCCGGAGUCCUGCCCCAUAAACAUUGAGGAAUAGGUAUGACAUCUACCAAAUUAUAUAACUGAACAGACCACUCAUUUGACCUGGGGUCUCUUCCCUGAUCCUCUUUCCCACGCCCCAGAGUGCCACCUGCAGAGGGGAAGAAACUCCUUGGACUCAUGCUCAGGAGUGGAGAGCCUGUGGGCAAGACCCUGUACCCUUCCUUUCCCAGGGCUGUACUGAGGCCUGUUACUAUAUAGCCUCACACCAGACCACUCAUGCAAAAUAAGCAAUCAGUACCUGCUUCCUCCUAGCAUAUGUGCUAUUAAGGACUUUCUUCGUGUCUUAGGCUCGCUGAAUCUGAGGCUGACUUUGGCCAUUUGUAAGUUGGACUCAGGACUGCAAUAUACAGUUAGCUGGCCUCACUUAAUAGAAAAGCCCCACGCCCCCAUCUCCGUCCUAGGGCCACACUACCUUUCUGAGCUCCCGGGUGCAAACCUGUAAAUGGUUCCUGCAGAAGCUUGCCGAGCAGAGCCAACAAGAUGAAGUACCUUCCCUGAACAUCCCGAGCCUGGAAAGGAGCAGGGCCUGCCAUUGUAUAAAACAUAGUCGCUCUCCUGGAGAGAACAAAACAGAGCUAACUCGCCAGCUAGAGGGACCUAGGAAACACAUGAGGCUCCCCCAAACCAAGCUGGCAGGAACUGCUCACAGGUCAUUUCUAGUCAGGUAUGUGGCUGGGCACCCUUACGUAGGGCCCCAUGCGGGCCUCACAGCCAAUCUGUGAGUGCUACCCACUUGUCUCACUGGGCAUACGAGAAGGCCAAGCCCCCUAAGGAAGGUGACCUGCCAAAGAUCAGACCGUUGGAACCUAUGAACUGAUCUGAGGCCCGAGUGGAUGCAGGUGUGGGUGUGACUAGGAAGAGAAAACAAGGUAGGUAGGUUGCAUCAGAGCAUGAAACAGAAGCGUCAGGGUUGAGUCUCCACUUGGAGCCACAGAUGCAGCCAGAGGCUGGGAGAAGCCAGGGUGAUAAACAGCAUCUUGGACUGAAAGGUGCUCAGGCGAGGAAGUGGUACAGGUGAAGGUGUGGGCAUACACCGUCUCCCACCCAAGGCUUCCCUUCCCUGGCCCCUGCUAUGCUGCAGCCCCACCCCCGCCCCUACCCCCCUGCAGACACAGGCUAUAGGUCAGGGUGUGCUCUCUGUACACCCACCUUCCAUGCAGGAAGCAGCCCAGUUCAGCCUCCUAACUAACACUCCCAAGGCCAGAACCAAGUAUGUAACAUGCAAGCUGGAUGCUAGGUAAGUUCACGAAUGAAGAACACCUACAGUCUCCCCAUCUGUCCAUGGGUUACAGGCAGCGACUACCUAGCUAGGGAGGGGCAGCCGUGGCACCUGCCAGCACCUGCUCCUCACUCUUCCUCUCAGGAGUGGCUCAUGCAGCCAGAUGUCUCACGUCACACACAUCCUGCUAGAUUCUGUGUUGACUCCUGUGCUGCUGUACUGGGACACCAUGUAUGCUUGGCCUAAGGAAUGGCUCCCAGAACCUCUGUUGUUCCUUCUCCAGGUACCUGGCAGCAUGAGGAUAACACUGUCAACUGUCGCCAUACCCAGCGCCGGCGCUUAUCCUCCAGCAGCCUGGAGGACCCUGAGGAGAACAGGCCUUGUGUAUGGGAUCCUAUGGCUGUCUGAGGGCAUCUGCACCUCCACCUGGGCGUCCCCUCCUGUCCUUGCCUUCCAUCUGCCCUCACUGGACCACGAGCCUUCUGGUCAUCUUCAACAAGACUCGUGGACUUCCUACUCACAUGAAGGGAGGACGAUGCGCAACCCUCCACCCACCUGCCUCAUCGCCUGUAACCGCGAUUCUUACCCUCUCAGAAAGAACCAGAAGCCUUCCCUCUGUGGGCUAAUACGUGCCAGCCAAACCUGUGGGCCAGCUGAGCUGAGGGUCAGGGCUGGUUGUUUCUGUAGGCUUUCUCUUCUGAGUGGAGACCAAGAAGACUGAAGAGUUUGGCAGCCUUGUUAGACGCCCAUGGACAGGUUUUGGUCUCUGGCACUCAUAAACAAUUAGAAACCUAACUUGAACUGGUUGGGAACUUGCUCCAUGAGGAAGGCCAUCCACUCCGGCCUCCCAGAACACCAGGAGCUCCUUGCCCACGCCUAAGGGAGAGGGUAGCCACCGAACUAUUGGUUGGAAGCCAGAUCUAACAGAGUUGGUCUCCUGCACCUCCGGUGUCCACAGUUAGGAAGAUACCCCUUGCAAGGCCUGUCCUCCUCCAGUGCAGUCAGGAAGGCCUACUGGGCCACUUCCCUGCAGUGCUUGGGCAGGCUCUUCCCAUAUCGUCACUACAGCCACUGAGGGGGUCUUGAACCCAGCUAACCACUUCUCUGCCCUCUUUGUAAUAGCUGAAGAACUAGGCUAAGAGCUGAGGCCCAGUGGUUCUCAAACUGGUGCACAGGAACACCAAAGGAAUGGUGGAGGCUCUGGGGCCAGAGGAUUAGGAGACCUCCCUACCCUAGUGCAUUCCUCCCCUGCCUUUCAGAUGGGAUAGAUGAGAGGUGGGCUCACCAGUGCUGAGAGAUGCUGUCAGGUUAGCACUCAAAGCCAUAGCAGCAAGCUGGCAGGAAAUUGUUGGGUUCAGUGGGUUUUAACAUGGCUCUAAAGUAGAUGCCUAUCUAGUGGCUUUUGGAACAGAAAGUCGUUCAGCGGAACAUGAGAUGGUUUGGGGAUCAAGAUUAGUGACAGUCACUUAUGAGGGUGCGAUACGAGGAGCUUUAGACUUGCAAGUGUGUUCUUUGAAAGGCUUUCCCCAAAAUGCCAGUGCCCAGGAUCCUGAGGGGAGGUCGGGGGUGGAGAGUCCGGCUGCAAACUUGCCAUGUGGCUGGGAAUGACCUUGAACUUCGGGUUUUCCUGCCGGUACUGCCCAAGAGUUAGGAUCACAGGCCUGCACCACCGCACAGCUCUCCUUUCCAUGGUAAUCCCACUGUUAGGGGCUCUGCUGCGCUGCGGGACGUGGGACAGGCUGAGCUUCAGAUCCCAUGUUGCCCCUUCUGAACACCCUGCUUCCCGUCUUUUACUUCCUCAGCAUCCCGAGGGCCCCUCCCUCCCACACUUAAGGUUUACACCAGUGUAGGCUGAGCAAUAUCCACACCUCCUCAAAAACCAGAACAGAAACAACAGGGAAGUUCCCUGAGCCUGGGACGGCUGCACGGCUGCACGUAGCCCUUCUCCCCUGGCAGGCAGUAGGUAAGCGGUGUUCACAGUGUGGUGUGACCUGGGAGGAGGGGAAGAAGCUGAGAUGAAGGAGAUUCGGGUAAACAGUAGCCACAGUGGCCAGGAACCCUCGAAAAAGCCAUUAUAAUCAGCCCUUCCGUCUCCCUUCACAAGUGCUCAGCCUGAAUUCCAUAAUCCAGGCACCCAGGUUAGCAUACCCUUUGCUCUGCCUUGCUCAUUCCGCCCCUCACUCUGCCCUUUUACUUCUUGGCAAGCAGAAAUAGCCCAUUCACAGGGUGGCCCACUGUCAGCUGCCACACAACCCAGUCCAUUUGGGAACCAUCCCUUUCUUGGGGCUCAAAUGUACAGAGUCAGGCAUGUUCUCCUGGUGCCGUUGGCUCCUCAUCACACAGUAUCUGCACCUUUCCAUGCUUGGUACUGCCCAGAUCUUGGCCUCCUCAAAGAGCCUUUUUGCUUUACCUAAUUUCAUCCCACCAGAGUGUCUAUCCCCUGUGACAUCUGCCAGGCACAGACUCAAACCCUAAGCCAUCCAUCCCACUGGGGAACUAGUCCUGUCCAUCUGGUGUUGGCGUGCUGGCUGCACACUUUGUUUUAGGGCCUGAACACCUGUGUGUAUGUGUGUGUGUAUGUGUGUGUGUGCGUGCGUGUGCUCUGUAUGUGCCAUCUGUGUACCCCUCACAUUCAUGGAGUACACUUAUAGGCACAUUACAGUGGGGACAUCAAGAUGCAAUAUUUAUGGAUUGCUGCAUGAUUCUUAAAAGUGAAUAAAACUGUUUACAGGGGCAAGGGAGCCAUUAAUUACAACGUGAAUUCGUUUG